GGAAAUAUGGCUGAGUGGCUUAAAGCGUUGGCUUGCUAAGCUAAUAUACUGUAAAGUAUCGCGGGUUCGAAUCCCGCUUUUUCCG
rnacentral:tRNA from 1 species